rnacentral:rRNA from 1 species
GACGAACGCUGGCGGCGUGCUUAACACAUGCAAGUCGAACGGAAAGGCCCUGCUUGCAGGGUACUCGAGUGGCGAACGGGUGAGUAACACGUGGGUGAUCUGCCCUGCACUUCGGGAUAAGCCUGGGAAACUGGGUCUAAUACCGGAUAGGAGCCAUUUUUAGUGUGAUGGUUGGAAAGUUUUUUCGGUGUAGGAUGAGCUCGCGGCCUAUCAGCUUGUUGGUGGGGUAAUGGCCUACCAAGGCGGCGACGGGUAGCCGGCCUGAGAGGGUGGACGGCCACAUUGGGGCUGAGGUACGGCCCAGACCCCUACCGGGGGGAGGCGUUGGGAAUAUUGGCCCAUGGGGGCCAGCCUGGUGCAGCGACGCCGCGGUGGGGAUGACGGCCUUCGGGUUGUAAACUCCUUUCGCUAGGGACGAAGCUUUUUGUGACGGUACCUAGAGAAGAAGCACCGGCUAACUACGUG